rnacentral:rRNA from 1 species
GGAGAGGUGGUGCAUGGCCGUCGUCAGUUCGUACUGUGAAGCAUCCUGUUAAGUCAGGCAACGAGCGAGACCCACGCCCACAGUUGCCAGCGUACUCUCUGGAGUGACGGGUACACUGUGGGGACCGCCGCUGCUAAAGCGGAGGAAGGAAUGGGCAACGGUAGGUCAGUAUGCCCCGAAUAUCCCGGGCUACACGCGAGCUACAAUGGUUGGUACAAUGGGUAUCUACCCCGAAAGGGGACGGGAAUCUCCUAAAACCAAUCUUAGUUCGGAUUGAGGGCUGCAACUCGCCCUCAUGAAGCUGGAAUCCGUAGUAAUCGCGUUUCAACAGAACGCGGUGAAUACGUCCCUGCUCCUU